UACGGGGGGAGCAAGCGUUGUUCGGAUUUACUGGGCGUAAAGGGCGCGUAGGCGGCGCAACAAGUCACUUGUGAAAUCUCCGGGCUUAACUCGGAACGGUCAAGUGAUACUGUUGUGCUAGAGUGCGGAAGGGGCAACUGGAAUUCUCGGUGUAGCGGUGAAAUGCGUAGAUAUCAAGAGGAACACCUGCGGCGAAGGCGGGUUGCUGGGCCGACACUGACGCUGAGGCGCGAAAGCCAGGGGAGCGAACGGG
rnacentral:rRNA from 1 species